rnacentral:rRNA from 1 species
GACGAACGCUGGCGGCGUGCUUAACACAUGCAAGUCGAACGGAAAGGCCCUGCUUUCGUGGGGUGCCAGAGUGGCGAACGGGUGAGUAACACGUGAGUAACCUGCCCUUGACUUUGGGACAACUUCAGGCAACUGGGGCUAAUACCGGAUAGGUGAUCCUGCUGGAUGGUGGGGGUCGGAACGUAUCGGCGGUUGGGGAUGGACUCGCGGUUAACCAGCUUGUUGGUGGGGUAGUGGCCUACCAAGGCAUUGAUUGGUAGUCGGCCUGAGAGGGUGACCAGCCACAUUGGGACUGAGAUACGGCGCAGACUCCUACGGGGGGCAGCAGUGGAGAGUAUUGCACAAUGGUCGGAAGCCUGAUGCAGCAACGCCGCGUGCGUGAUGACGUCCUUCGGGUUGUAAACCGCAUUCACCUGUGACGAUGCUUGAUUGACGGUAAUAAGUAAAUAAGCACCGGCUAACUACGUG